rnacentral:rRNA from 1 species
UACGUAGGGGGCAAGCGUUGUCCGGAUUCAUUGGGCGUAAAGAGCGUGUAGGCGGCUUUGCAAGUCCGUUGUGAAAACUCGAGCUCAACCUCGAGACGCCGGUGGAAACUGCAAAGCUAGAGUCCGGAAGAGGAGAGUGGAAUUCCUGGUGUAGCGGUGAAAUGCGCAGAUAUCAGGAAGAACACCCGUGGCGAAGGCGGCUCUCUGGGACGGUACUGACGCUGAGACGCGAAAGCGUGGGGAGCGAACAGG